GUCUAUGGCCAACCACCCUGAACACACCUGAUCUUGUAAGCUAGGCAGGGUCGGGCCUGGUUAGUGCUUGGAUGGGAGAGAAAGUGUGGUUCUGUGGCUC
rnacentral:rRNA from 1 species